rnacentral:rRNA from 1 species
UACGUAGGGUGCAAGCGUUAUUCGGAAUUACUGGGCGUAAAGCGUGCGCAGGCGGUUUUGUAAGUUUGUCGUGAAAGCCCCGGGCUCAACCUGGGAAUGGCGAUGAAGACUGCAAGGCUUGCAUCUGGCAGAGGGGGGUAGAAUUCCACGUGUAGCAGUGAAAUGCGUAGAGAUGUGGAGGAACACCGAUGGCGAAGGCAGCCCCCUGGGUCAAGAUUGACGCUCAUGCACGAAAGCGUGGGGAGCAAACAGG